ensembl:lncRNA
AUGGAAAGUAGACAACAAUGGCUUACCAGGCUGAAAAAUGAACUUAGCAACAGUCCUCUUGUGUCAAAUGUGGCUUUUGGGUUUAUCCUCAUGGGACUAGAGAAGCUGGUGGAGCUGGAGUUUGAGUGUCCUUGCAGUCCUACAUGGAACGGACUGUUUUCCUCAGCAUUCUUCAUCAUUCCCGCCGUCAUGGCCUUCACCUUGAUGUUGAUCAUUCAAGGAUGCAGAUGUGAUGAGUGGUGCAGGAAGACUGUGUCCCUGUCCAGUUUCGUGCCUGCUAUCGUGUGGCUGAUCUUGUUGUUCCUCGACGGCCAGUACUUCGCCUGUGCUAUGACAGACUGGGAGGGUAGAUUUGUACUCGUUGACAAGGCAGCUCCACAGAAGUGGUGUGAGCCAAUUAGUGAAGGAGAUGUCACCCCACAAGAGCUGAUGCUCCGCUCACAACAGCUGUUUGUUUUUUCUCAGGUUAUAGGCAUAAUCCUCCUCAUCUUCAUCUGUGUGGGUCUCAUAGUGUAUGUAAUCAGAGAAAGUUGCCAACAGGAGGUGGAGAUGGAGGAUGCAGAUGUAGCAGAGCUCACCGUGCUCAGGAUGAGCUCUCUACGGACCAGGACCUCCUGAGAGAGACCACGUACACCGCCCACCACACCUACUGUGCUGAAACGCACACUUUAAUCAGUUUAUUUUGUUGAGCAGAAUCCUGUUGACAUCAGCAACAUCCCACUAAAAACAAGAGAUCACCAGAAAUCUUCAUCCCAUCAAUCAAAAAGGACACAUUUAAUUGUUUAAUUUGUUUUUUAUUUAACUUUCCAUGAUUUUCCUCUUCCUUAGUUUUAGCUUAACUGACACAGGUGGUAAUGACCAGGCAGCUAAUAUCAAUCUGAUGUAUAAUGUUGAUUCACUUAUAUUUGUUUGAGUGGUUGUUAAUGACUAAAUGUGUAAUUUCACUUUAAAUAUCUUUGUUUUUCCACAUGACCGCGUUAUCAGACUGAUAUCCAGCCAGUCCCACCCUGCUGAUCAACAGUAACUCAGAUCAAACCAGAUUAAUGAUUCAUCAUCAGGAUCAACACGUUGUAGAUAUAUAUUCUGUAACAAAUUGUGUUUUUUUUUGUAAUUGUUUUCUAAUAAAAGUAUUUAUUGAAGUAAAACCCUCAGCAAUUGUCUCAAUCUUAAAAUAAUCCUCCUUCUUCUGCUUCUUUCGUAUGAAAUGGGGACAGAUUCUGUAGGAUGAUCCUGUGGGAGGGUUUAUGCAAGACUUACUGAUGACUGAGGAAGUUGUCUUUAGCCACUGAUUUACUCUCUUUCCAUCUCUCUUCAUCUCUCUCGCUGACACACAUGCACAUUUUUACUCUAAUACUCAUUUUUACUUAGUCCAGCACAUCCUGUGUAAUUCUGUACCUUAAAUACUGUGGAAAUGCAUUGACUGGGUGACAUUUAUGGUUUAUUUAACCAGCUGGGUCCUGAUUUUAUUUUCGAUGAAUUUAUGAUUUCUAAUCAAGUUAUAAAAAAGUGUAUUUAGUGUGAUUACAAGAAUACAAGAAUCAUACAAUAUAUGAAAUUUGCUACAACAUAAUGAUUUUCAAAGUGUGAUUUUUAAGUUCUGAUAGAAUCAAUACUGAAUGAAUGUCCUUUUUUUUAAAUCACGCUUCAAUUUUGCUCUCACUCAUCUAGAACACAAGCAUCGUACUAGAGCAGCAAAGGUCAUGAAAAUGAGCAGCGUGAUUCCAGCUAAGAAGAGCAUCACGUCUACAGAGUGAUAGGAAUACCAGGGCAGCCUGUAGGACUCAGUCCUCAGGUGAGCUGCACCUUUGUGUCUCAUGACAAACUCUAUCCAGAAGAGGGCGCUGUCCAUCGGCUUCAUCGGCGCGUCUCUGUGCAGGCAACCCGAGGUGGGGAGCCAGCAGGACCCCUCCUCCGUCAGCAGGAUCUGUCACAACUAGGUCAAAUUUGGAAGCUUGGAAGGAUUCCAUCAACUCUUUACUCUCAAAAGUGUAUAAUCACUUCACAUGUUUUCCUGUGCAAUUCAUAGAAGCUGUAUUUCAAUCUUGACAACUUGUUAUGGUGAAAUGUGUCGUUUUCCCUGACAGCAACGUUGAGUGUGAUGGUCUAGUAAUGUAGAGAUGUUUGGCUGAUGUACCAGCUGUCCGCAGCCUGGAUCACCAUCACCUUGUGCAGCUCCUCAACCAGGACCCUCAUGUUCACCCAGUGGAUUCCUACGUGUGGAAAACCAAAACGUUACCACCGAGUAUUGUUGAAAUUAUGGCAGUGGGAAGGCAGAUUACGGUUGCAAAGAGCAAAAACUUUACGAAAUCUUCCAUGCAGAAAUUCAAACAAAGCAAAAACUAGAACAUAUUCCAGGAAAGACUUUGCAGAAGUGAAGCAAUAAAGAGAGGUGGUUGAAACAGGGUUUCAGGAAUUAAACUUUCUGUAGUCUCUCCACUUUUGUUUGACUGUUCUCACAUGUACACAGCACAUGGAGCCUCUCCCAGUAAAUAACACACUGGUGACACUGGAGAUUAACUAGAAGUGGGAGAUUCUGAUGAUAUAUAAGUUGGAGACAUUAUUUUCCUUGUAUUGUCAUAAAGACUGACUGGGCAGAAAUAAUUCACCCCUUAUGUUCAAGAGAGAUGCUUAAUAAUUUGCAAGGCGCUUUUA